AGACCCGAAACCCGGUGAUCUAGCCAUGGGCAGGUUGAAGGUUGGGUAACACUAACUGGAGGACCGAACCGACUAAUGUUGAAAAAUUAGCGGAUGACCUGUGGCUGGGGGUGAAAGGCCAAUCAAACCGGGAGAUAGCUGGUUCUCCCCGAAAGCUAUUUAGGUAGCGCCUCGUGAAUUCAUCUCCGGGGGUAGAGCACUGUUUCGGCUAGGGGGCCAUCCCGGCUUACCAACCCGAUGCAAACUGCGAAUACCGGAGAAUGUUAUCACGGGAGACACACGGCGGGUGCUAACGUCCGUCGUGAAGAGGGAAACAACCCAGACCGCCAGCUAAGGUCCCAAAGUCAUGGUUAAGUGGGAAACGAUGUGGGAAGGCCCAGACAGCCAGGAUGUUGGCUUAGAAGCAGCCAUCAUUUAAAGAAAGCGUAAUAGCUCACUGGUCGAGUCGGCCUGCGCGGAAGAUGUAACGGGGCUAAACCAUGCACCGAAGCUGCGGCAGCGAACGUAUCACCCAAGACAACUUUACGGAGUUGACGAUUGACGGAGCGAAGCGACGUCAAAGCGUUCAUUAAAGUCGAGUUGGCUUAGGGAUACGUUCGUUGGGUAGGGGAGCGUUCUGUAAGCCUGUGAAGGUGUGUCGUGAGGCAUGCUGGAGGUAUCAGAAGUGCGAAUGCUGACAUAAGUAACGAUAAAGCGGGUGAAAAGCCCGCUCGCCGGAAGACCAAGGGUUCCUGUCCAACGUUAAUCGGGGCAGGGUGAGUCGACCCCUAAGGCGAGGCCGAAAGGCGUAGUCGAUGGGAAACGGGUUAAUAUUCCCGUACUUGGUGUUACUGCGAAGGGGGGACGGAGAAGGCUAUGUUGGCCGGGCGACGGUUGUCCCGGUUUAAGCGUGUAGGUGUGUGUUCCAGGUAAAUCCGGUUCACUUUAACACUGAGGCGUGACGACGAGGCACUACGGUGCUGAAGCAACAAAUGCCCUGCUUCCAGGAAAAGCCUCUAAGCAUCAGGUAACACGAAAUCGUAC
rnacentral:rRNA from 2 species